ensembl:lncRNA
AGAAAGCAUAGCUGUGCAUAGAACGUAAGAGCAGAAAUUGGUGUCAAGAGGAAAUCACACAGCCUGGGCCCCACGCUGUAGAAUGAUGUCAUUCAUAACCAGGGUGGUUUUCUCAUCUCCCCUCUAGAAACACUCCCCUCUACAUGCCCUGGGGCGUGUCUCCUAGGAGAUCGAAGUUGGCAGUGAAGAUUAGCCAUCGUGACAAUCAUGACUUUUCUUCUUCAGGUUUUCAAGUUUGGAAGCCUCCUCACUGACUCUCUGCCUAACUCACGUAAAGAUGACUUACAAAAUGGAGGAGCUUCUAGUCGCUGGUGCAGAGACCCCACCCAUGCAGGAGAACAUGGCGCACCCCAGAUACUACCUUCAAUACCGGACCGUCUCUGCGUCUGCUCAGAGUGACAGUCCUGGGUGAAGCAUUGACAACAUUUGCCCUCCUAGGUCUCCCUGCUCCACCAACCUCCCUUCCUCCCUCAAGUCUCCCUCCCUGUCUGUUUUGCUUAGGAACCACUGG